AAUGGAAAAAUUGAUCUUGAAGGUGGCACUAGUGGUGUAACUUUGGGAACGUUACUUUAUUUUUGAAUCUGUUUCCUCCUCUAUAAAAUAGAAAUUAGAUCUUUACCCCAGGACCAUGCGAUGGCUCUAAGGAAUUGUAAGUCACCAAGCCCAUCAUAAAUAUUCAGGUAUUCUUUGAUUCUUAGACCAAGGAAAUUAACUAGUAGGUCAUGUGACUUAAUUUCUUGAAGAUUACGGUUAGGCAGGAGAAUGAAAAAAUACUACUCACUUUUUGUUGCUUAAAACACGGUGCUAGGUACUUUUAUCUUAUUAAACCUACACAACCUUGGCUGUUACUCCCAUUUCAGUAUGAGGAAACAGGCUUGAAGAAAUCACCCUCCUUUUGACACAGUGUAAAAGUUAGAUGCUUCCCUGUGACUCAUUUCUGGUGUUCCUUCCAUUUGAUUAAUGCCUAAUUUAUUGAACUUGUUAUCCAACUGUAUAGGUGACAUAUCCAUUUUGAUGACUAAUUUUCAGCAUCUCAGACAAGAUGAAAAGCAAGUUUCUGACGUUGCUCCCAAAGCAUACCUUUCCCAGUCUUCCCCCCUCAGUAAAUGACAAUUCCACUAUCCCAGGUGCUAAAACCCAAAACCUCAGUUGUCCUCAACUCCCUCAAACCCCACUCUGACCUUUAACAAGUCCUGACAAUUCCAUCUUCAAAAUCUAUUCAGAAUCUGGACAACCUUUUAUAUUAUUUCCACUAACACUCUGGCCAAGACAACCAGUGACUCUCACUUGUAUUAUCAAAUAUCCUCCUCCUAAGUGGUUCGUUUCUGCCUUGUCCCUCUUCAGUCUAUUUGCACAAAGCUGCCAGAAUGAUCCUGCUAAAAUGGAGGUCUGAUCAAGUCAUCUCUGUUCAAAACCUUCCAAAGGGGAUUCCACUGUGACUCAGAGUAAGAAACAAAGACCCGCGGUGGCUUAAAGGCUCCGUCCAUACUACUGAUCACACUUUCUGUCCCUCCCCAUGUUGCUCACUCCACCGCAGCCACACCAGCCACCUCACGGUGCCCUCUGAGUGAUUCUAACUGCAGACUCCACCCAGGCUCGCUCCCUCACUUCCUUCAGGCUUUUAUCCAAAAGCUACUUUCUCCCUGAGGGCAUCCGUCACCAUCCUGUCUAAAACUUUCAGUCCCUAAUCAUUUGUGUUCUCAUUUCUGCUUUCCUGUUUCUUUUACACUUCUCCCCUGUAUACUACAUACUGUGCUCAUUUAUCUUGUCUCCCCUCACUAGAAUGUAACCUUCAUGGGACAAGAAUUUAGAUCUGCUUUUUCUCUGCUGUAUUCUCGGUGCCUAACACAUGGUGAGCCCACCAUGAAUAUUUGCUGAGAAAAUGAGCUUCUAAAUGUUACUUAUCUUUGCUCCACCCAUUAUGUCCUCCCUGUAAUACCAGAGCAUCCUUUGCAAACACUUAAACUUUUCAAGUUACCACUUGUGCCUGUUAUCAGGUAGAAAAGAACUUCCUUAAAGUUUUCCACACCCUUCUCCAGGCUUUCCAGUCUAUCAUCUGGACGAGUUCUGGGUCACAUGACAAUCUCUAGCACAAUCACUGGCAAAGGGGAUGGGACCACCAUUGGCUGCCAUGGUUUAAGCGUUACUUACUCUCUGUGACUGGGUGUACGGCUGCUGGAGUAAAGUGAGGCUCACCAGGGAGAAGGGAAUGGAUUUUAUAGAGAGAAAUAAGCAUCUGCCCUAUCCACUGAAUCGCAAUGUCACAUCUUUGAUCACAGUUGAGUUUCAUCAUCCUCAUGAGGAAGGAUAGUUGGGCAUUCUGACCAUUUUACAGAGGAGAAAACAAAGCCACAGAGAGAUCCUCCAACAUCAUUCAGUAGAUCAGAGGCUUGACCAGUGUCAUCUACCCAAGUUCUGGGUUCUGGAGAAGCAGCCUGCUUUAGACAAAAAAAAAAAAAAAAAUAGAGUAGAGCAGAAAUCAGAAACUCAGGGACUCAUUUUCACCCUGCACAAAAGAACUAUACGACCUCAAAUAGGUAUUUUGAUCCCUCAGGGCCUCAGUUUCUUCAUCUGUAAAAUGAAAAUAAAUUCCCUUUCUUGCUCAGAGCAGUGUUUGGGCUGAUUAAUCAUUAAGACUCUCUUCUUAUCUGUUGAAUUCCAGCUCAGGCAGAGAAAUAGGAGUGAAUUGUUGGACUUUAAACCCUGUGCUGCCAGAAGAGAAGAAUUAGCUUUCUUUAUAAUGAUCUUUAAAAAAAAAAAUCCCCUAUUGUUCUGAAAAUAAGAACAGAAGGAUGAUCCUUUUAAACCUCAGUCUGUUCCUGAGGAUUUCCUUGCACGGCAUCUCUAAACCCCUUUUGCUCCAACUUUGACCUUUAACAGGUAUUCCUGGCAGGUCGUCUGUUCCUCAUUCAGAACUCAAGUCCGCUGUAAAUGCAUAGCUGGAAGGUUCCAUUGCAGAGCCUCUUCAUGGAGCCAACUGCAGAAGCUUUUGUAGAUUGAGAGCUAUGAAACCCCAGUAUCCUCCUGGCCAGAGUCCUAGUGCACACAGUUGCUAGGAGGCCUUCAUUCCAAAUUCUUCUGUUGGACUUCUCACUCCCCUGCAUUGUUCCCAGUAUGUCACCUGCCUAUGAGAUUCAAGGUUGUUGUUGUUGUGUUUGUUUUUUUUUUUCCUGAGGAGUGGCUUUAUGAGGGCAAUGGGAGGAAGAUGGUUAUUCAGUAAUUUACUGAACCUUGCAUGUUAAGCUUUAUGACCAUAUGAUGAAUUUUCCAACCUUCUAACUUCAAAGACCUAGACUUUUCUCUUCUGCAGUGUCAAAAUUAAUAUUUAAUAACUCCUUACUUUCGGGUGGAAGUUUAAGGUGUUCCAUGUAUUCUCUCAUGUGAUUUUACAAUUAAGAAAAAUUAGGUAACUCUCACAAGAUUAAGCUGGUCAAGAAUGGAACUGAGCUCAGAUCCUCGGAUUACCAGACUGUCUUUUAAGCGUCAUACAUACCAAGUGUUAUAAUUUUGCUGCUUUCACUAAUUGUGCUGCAGAGUUCCUUGAGGGCUUUGGUAAUCAGGGCAGAGGCAGAAGGUUCCACUUCAGUCUGCGCCUGUGUGUUCUGAAUGGUCAGUUUCACUGCAGUCCUCAGGCCCUUCAAAUCACCAGCUGCCUUGUCGCUGUCAUCACCAACCUUUUUUGGAGACAGAUCCAGGGGGCCGAUCUUCUGGACCAGGACAGACUUCCCUACCGGUGCACCUUAGAAUGAUGCCCUUUUCUGACUCAACCCUAAACAGACAGCCCCAGGCUACCUUGCAAGUGCAUAUGAGGAUUCUUCCCCAGCCCCUUGUGGUUGGGCAAGACCACAUGACUUGCUUCAGCCAAUGACUCGUGCACAGAAAUGACCCAUCACCUCCAGUGAGCUGCACUGAAGAGCUGGUGUGGGGGCUUCUCUUUUCUCUGCCCCUGCUGUGAGGAUCGUGGACACUUGUGUUGGUGUGGAGGUGCCCGGACAUGGAAGGUGCCUGAAGUGCUGAGCCAGCGCUUGGAGGACAGGAGCCGGAUGUGAUUGUGCAUCCAGCCAUCAUCUAGCCACCAUGAUGGUUGGUGGCUAACAACUCAGAGUUGCACCCUUCUCAGGAAAAUAGUCCUCAGUUUGUCCCAAGUAUUUGGAUGGCCAACAAACAAUGACUGACGGAUGCAGUGAGGAUACAGAGGCCCAGCCUGCUUGCUUCAAGGCCAGAAGACUUCGUAGUACCAUGUUUGCUCUACAUCUUCCAGUGAGGUCAGGCUGAGGUAAAGCUUCAUUUGAACCCUUGUCUUUACUAGGUUAUCCUGCUGUCUUAGCCUGUUUCCUGCCUUCUUUAGAUUUCACUGAAGAGAACAUCUUUGAUAAGUCAAUUGUAUAGAAAUCUUCAUCUCAGUCAUGGCUUCUAGGGAACCUGACCUAAGACAGCUGAUAAAAAACGAAAUCUUUAAAAAAGAAAAAAGAAUUUGGCUGGUACUAUUUAGCAAGACAAUUAUCGAAGCAAGAGUGGUCACAGAUCACUGGUUAUGAGCAAAAAAAUUGUUUUCUUAAAGCAUACUCUGUUGUUCUCUAUAUACUUAGAGCACAUUUACUAUCAAGAUCUGUAUUGUAUGUUUUUCCUAGAAGUCUGGCUGGCCAUAUCUCCUGAAAGUGUUCGAACUAGACGCUGUUAAUCAAGAAUGCUUACGACAACCAGCGCUCCCUGUGGGAGUGAGAGGAUGGGAAGGGCUCUCCU